UAUUGAAUCUGGAAAAUCUGGAAAAAAAAGUGUGAAGUAUGAUUUUAUUUAUAGAAUUUAGAAUUCAUGAGCAUGGAAAGACAAGACGAUUUAUAGUUCUGAUGCUCAGUUUUGGUUUGUUUGACAGGCUAAGAGGAAAUAGGCCGAGUCUACAGACCAGGGAACUAGCCAAGACUGUAGAGUUCGAGCUCUCGGUGCCUGAUAACUGCCAAGUCUGUUUUCUGCUAAAAGCUUCCAGAUCAAGCUCCAUACGUGGGUGGAGUUGUACAUUGUGUCUGUUUGUAUUGUAAAUGUCUUUGUAAGAACUGGAUAGUUUAUGGUUGUGUAAGCACUAGAUGUCGUGGUUGUGUAAA